ensembl:lncRNA
AUGAAACAACAGAUUCAGAGAGGAUAUGUAACCAAAGUCAUGCCAUCAAGAAAUGAUAACCAGGAUUCAAGUUCAGGUUCGACUCUGAUGUCCACCUCUACAAUGUCAGUUCCACUGGGGCUCACGGGUAUUGAUCAUGUGUCUACUGUGCAUGAGACUCCAACAUGGAAAUUGGAGGAGAAAAGUCAAAGGAGUGGGCAAGGCCCAGUCAAGGCAGAACAAGAGGAUGAAGAACAGGAAAUGCAUCAGAAGGAAGAGGAAAAGUACCCAAGGGAAAAACUCUUUCUAGUAAGGGCAGCAAGCAAGUCAAUGGAUUCAUUUCAGGCUAUGCGUGAGUGGGCAGUCAACCAGAAAGACUUUGCAAUUGCAGCUGUGGAUGUGUAGUGAAGAACACGGUAAGUAAUGCUCUUUGCUUAUCAAACUAUUUCAAGCCAACCUUCUCCUCCUC